UCUUGCCACUGCACACCAGCCUGGGUGACAGAGCAAAACCCGGCCUCAAAAAGAGAAAAAAAAAAAAGAAAAUGAUUUUUCACAUUUUGCACUCCUAACACUUUUUUAAGAAUUUAUUUCUGUAUAUAUUUAUAGAUCUUUGUAUCACCAAGUCUUAAAAGUUACUUUUUCAGAGAAAUAAUAAAACCUCCAUGUAAUCAUAGAUUCAUCAGUUAUCAAUACUCAAAGGUUCCUCUUUAAAACUAGUAUAUCAUGGCACUAAAAGCACAGAUUUUGGGGUCAAACAGCAUUGGGUUCCAGUCUUUGCUCGGCCAAUUACCAGCUAUGUGACUCUGGCCAGGUCGUUUCUCUCCUGAGGCCUUUGUGCCUUCAUUUAUAAGUCAGGCUAGUCACAAGUCUUUCCUAGGAUUGUUAUGAAGAGACACAAAACGGCAAGAAAAAGCACUGUACUGGUGCCAGGAAGAGUGUCCCAUGAAUGGUCACUAUGACAAUAUACACAAGUGGCCUCUUUCUCCACGCCCCCUCUGUUGAGGGCAGGCACACAGGGCAGGCGCACGGGGCAGGGAGAAGCCAUGGAUCCAGGUGAGAGAGUGCAGUGACAAAGCAAGUGGAGUUAUUUCGUACUAAUGUUAAGUGGUUAGGAACAAACAAAACUGAGACUCUUGGGCCAGGGUGCUGCAGCGAGGUGCUUGUGGCCUUAGGUUGUUGGAGAGCAGAGGCAAGCCCGCUCCAGGACCUCCAUGCUCCACCUCCUUUCUGCCUUGACCCCUCACCACUGCGAUAGCAAUGAGCUUUCCACUUUAAAGAGCUUGGGGCUUUGAUGGCAAACAGACUGGAUUUGAACCCUGGCUUGACCAGACCAUUUACUACAUUAGUCUGGGGUAUGUUACUGAACUUUUCUGAGCUUCAGUGUUUGUGUGUGUGUGUGUGUAUGUGUGUGUCUGUGUGUGUGUCUGUGUGUGUGUGUCUGUGUCUGGGUCACCCAGGCCGGAGUGCAAUGGCAAAAUCUCAGCUCACUGCAGCACUGAACUCCUGGGCUCAAGUAAUCCUCCCACCUCAGCCUCCUAAGUAGCUGCGACUACAGGCAUGCACCACCAUGCCUGGCUAAUUUUUGUAUUUUUAGUAGAGACAGGGUUUCGCCAUGUUGCCCAGGCUGGUCUUGAACUCCUAGGCUCAAGCAAUCUGCUGGCCUCAGCCUCCCAAAGUGCUAGGAUAACAGGCGUUAAGCCACCAUGCCUGGCUCAACGAUCCUCACCUGUAAAACGUGGCUUAUAAAUUAUAGGAAAAAAAAUCCCUCCUGCAUUCUGCUCUUCCUAAUGUGUAAUCAACAAUGACAAAACACCAGAAAAGGAGCAAGCAGAGAAAAAUCUCCUAUGGCUUAGGUUAGCUUAGCUUGUCCAUGGGCUAUCACAGAGGCUAAGGGAAUGGUGAGGAGAGGCAGCAAUAGGCCCAGUGUGCCUUAAGAGUGGGACAGUCUGUGCCUAGUUGUUCCAGUGAAAGUGAAAACAAAUUUUUUGUCCUUAAAUGCGCUGCUAGUUGAAAUGACCGGGAAGGGUUUUACAGAAUGAUUCCCCUAAGCAAACAUCCCAGAGAGAAGAAAAGCAAAAGACACACAGCUAAAUGGACAACAGUUCCCAGCCUCGUCACAGGAGAACUCUUUGGAGCCAAGUGAACCCCUGGGUCUCCUUUUUCCCACCCCAUCACUUCAGCGCUUUGAGAUCAAGUUCAAACUCAGUCCCAACACAGAGUGUCACUGCAAAUUGUUUAUUAAAACACAAAGCAAUGGACAGUGAAAAACAUCCUGAUUUUGUACUUUUUGGUGGGAGUGGGGUGGGACAUGGAAGGGGUAGGGUCAGAUGGAGACAGCCCAGAAGGAAAGCCAGCUCUAUCCACCCCUACAGCUUCCCCGGCCAACCAGGUUCAAAGCCCAUCAGUUAUAUCUCACUGUGCCGCUGUCAAUGCAUGUUGUGGCUGCUGGCAAAGAGUUGGUUUGGCCUCCACAGAGAGAGGAUGGGAAACUAGAGUAGAAGCUACAAGGGCUAAGAACUUGAUGCUUUUUCUCCAGUACUUGGUACAGAAUAGAGCAGCCAGGCCCAAUGUGGAAGGGUGGACUUGGUUUCCUGACAAGCCAGGUUAGACCAAUAAUGGUUGAAGAGGCUGCCCUGGGCUCAGAAUGGGCAGCUGGUCCUUGCCUGGGAGAACUUUGUGGAAGGAAAAGGUAACAUUCCUUAAGUCCAAGGACAGAACCAAUCCAGGGUCAAAUUUCUUUUCAUUCCCUGGAUCACAACACACCAGGGAAGAGAGGAGUCAAGAAUGUCUCUCCCUGCCAGUGCUCCCCUCCUACCUCACAACUUCGGCUCUCCCUUCCCGACAGUUGUCCUUUGAAAGGACGGAAAGCGCACUUCAGUUUGUUGUUGUUUUUCCUCAUACUGAAAUAAAGCACUGAAGCUCAAAAUAGAGGUGAGAAUGGAGUUCUGCUUUCCCCAGUGCUAUGUGCCCCC